UUUCGCCUACGGGACGCAGCAGUCGAGAAUCAUUCACAAUGGGGGAAACCCUGAUGGUGCGACGCCGCGUGGGGGAAUGAAGGUCUUCGGAUUGUAAACCCCUGUCAUGUGGGAGCAAAUUAAAAAGAUAGUACCACAAGAGGAAGAGACGGCUAACUCUGUGCCAGCAGCCGCGGUAAUACAGAGGUCUCAAGCGUUGUUCGGAAUCACUGGGCGUAAAGCGUGCGUAGGCUGUUUCGUAAGUCGUGUGUGAAAGGCGCGGGCUCAAUCGCCGGCCGGCACAUG
rnacentral:rRNA from 1 species